AUAAAAUCCACAAAAGAAGAAGCUACUAUCUCGUCCUCUACAGUUUCUAUCUUGAAGCAGUCAACAAUGGUAACGUUACAACUAGUGGGGUCUCUACGAAAAGAGCUCGCUGACUCCUUAUCCACUUGCCGGGUGCUGGUGGUCGGAGCUGGAGGAAUUGGCUGUGAGCUCUUGAAAAAUGUUGUUCUCACCGGUUUUAAAAAUAUAGAAGUGAUUGAUCUGGACAUUAUUGAUGUGAGCAACCUGAACAGACAGUUCCUGUUCCAGAAGAAACAUGUGGGAAAGUCCAAGGCUCAGGUGGCCAAAGAGAGUGUGCUGCAAUUCUGUCCUACUGCCAAUAUCACGGCCUACCAUGACAGCAUCAUGAAUCCAGAUUACAAUGUGGAAUUCUUCAGGAACUUCAUGCUUGUAAUGAAUGCCUUGGACAAUCGAGGUAUAGUGGAAUCUCAAUGCCUUCCUAAUGAAACCCUCAAUACUGAUCCCUAGUCAAUUUGUCUGUUUGUAGAGUAUAUUUGGUAUCUUUUACCAAUUAUUAUGGUCCUUGUCUUACCGCCAGCCAAUGUUCCCUCUAAGCUGUGUGCAGUAGCCCGAGACUGCCGUUCAGCUUCCAUGGACUGCCACACAGAAGAAAUAUAAGCCCAUGGAGAGAAGCACGAGAUUGAACUUCACACAACUUUCUAGAGUUUUCCCUGUUAACACUCAACGUUUCCCAUUACUCUGGCAAUUGUGAUUGAAUCAAUGCAAUAUUAGCCCCUUUCAAUGCAACAUACUGAAACAAAACAAACUAUGCAAGACUAAGUAUCCAAGAGAUUUUGUUGUAUGCAGAACGCAUCGGAGUAGGAUUCUAUUGAAUUGAUACGCACUACUCAGACCGUACUCUACACAGACCGGUGCGGCAUAACCAAUCAGAGCUGCAGUAGGCCUAUAUGCAAAUAGUUAAAUGCGAUAUAUGGAUCUGUGGCAUUUACUUUGAACUGAACUAUGUUGACAGCAUGAGCGGUCCUGAGUAGAUGCGCUUGUUUUGAGAUCAAAGCAAGAGCUGCAUGUAGCCACGUGUGUACAUUUUGUUCAUAUCUUUUUGGCUAGUUAGUGAGUUAUUAGCCCAGUUAUAGAUAAUUUGUAGUCAGCAAUAGGGGAGUGAUUGCUUCCUACAAGAGCAUAAAAUGUUUUUUGGAACAUUGCUGCCAGCUGAAUCUUUUCUUCCUUGCAGUGGCUCGUAACCAUGUGAACAGGAUGUGUCUUGCAGCUGACAUUCCCCUUAUUGAGAGUGGCACAGCUGGCUACCUUGGGCAGGUGACCGUUAUUAAGAAGGGUCUUACUGAGUGCUAUGAGUGCCAGCCCAAACCCACACAGAAAACAUUCCCUGGCUGCACCAUUCGCAACACCCCAUCUGAGCCCAUACAUUGCAUUGUGUGGGCCAAGUACCUUUUCAACCAGCUUUUUGGAGAGGAAGAUGCAGAUCAAGAGGUGUCCCCUGACACAGCUGACCCAGAGCUUUCAUGGAACCCUGCAGACACUGAAGCCCGAGCCACAGCAUCUGACCAGGAUGGAGACAUCAAACGUGUGUCCACUAAGGACUGGGCACGUUCCACUGGCUACGACCCAGUCAAACUCUUCAACAAGGUACUGUAGGCUUACGGCUUUUUAAAGAUGACAUCCAGUACCUCCUGACCAUGGACAAGUUGUGGAAGAAGAGGAAAGCCCCACUGCCUCUGGAUUGGCUUGAGCAUCAGAAACUUACGUGUCCCCAGGGGGUGACUGGGACGGGAUUGAAGGACCAGCAGGUGUUGGGUGUGGGAGGCUACUGCCAGCUCUUCUCCCGCAGCGUGGAAACCCUGCACUCCGUGCUGGCUGACAAAGGGGAUGGAGCAGAGCUUGUGUGGGACAAGGAUGAUCCUCCAGCGAUGGACUUUGUGACAGCAGCUGCCAACCUGCGCAUGUAUAUUUUCAGCAUGAAUAUGAAGAGCCGUUUUGACAUCAAGUCCAUGGCAGGGAACAUCAUCCCAGCGAUUGCCACGACCAAUGCAGUCAUUGCUGGCCUCAUAGUGCUGGAGGCACUGAAGAUUCUUUCAGGAGAUGUGGAGCAGUGUCGCACAGUGAGAAAUCAGGAGUGAUCCUUUCUGCUAAGGGUGGUUCUAAGCCUUCAAACAUUUUGUCAUAUUAACUAGGAACCAAACAGGACGAACCUGAACUUGUCCAAUACAAACUCUUGUUUUCGUUGCAUACCAUUUUCCGUUUGGAUCUAACCGCUUCCGUUGCUAAACGUUUUGCUAUGGUGUGCAACUAAUGAAUACACCCCGGGGGAAGUUUGACAGUAGGAAUGGGGAACUAUUUUCAAAACUCAUAAUUUUAAGUACACAACACAGCAUUUAUUUCAAAAUACAUUUGGUGACAGAACGGUUUUGUUGUAGCCCUCUUACCUGCCUGUCAUUUUGUAUCAUUCCCUGUAAUAGUAGCUGUGAUGGUUGCAGUGUAACUGUGGGCCCCUAAAGUCAAGGGCGUGGCAGGCCAGUCCACUUCUUCCACACCGAUCUCGCCAAACCAUUUCUGUAUGAACCUCACUUUGUACACGGGCAAUUUCAUGAAACAGGAUAGGGCCUUCCCCAAACUGUUGCCACACAGUUGGAAGCACAGAAUUGUCUAGAAUGUAAUUGAAUGCAGUAGCGUUAAGAUUUCCCUUCACUGGAACUAAGGGGCCUAGCCCGAACCAUGGAAAACAGCCCCAGACCAUUAUUCCUCCUCCACCAAACUUUACAGUUGGCAAUAUGCAUUCGGGCAGGUACCGUUCUCCUGACACCCACCAAACACCGAAUCGUCUGUUGGACUGCCGGAUGGCUGAGUGUGAUCCACCACUCCCAGAGGAUGCUUUUCCACUGCUCCAGAGUCCAAUGGCGGUGAACUUUACACCAAUCCAGCCGACGCUUGGCAUUGAUCAUUCCUCUUGUUACUAUUUUAAUAAUUUUUUAACUGCAUCGUUUGAAAGAGAUCGUAAACAAGCAUUUCACUGUAAAUUCUACACCUGUUGUAUUUGGCGCAUGUGACCAUAACAUUUGAUUUGAGUUAUGUAGCAUAUAGGCAUGGCCUAUGCCAAUGUACACAAACAAUGCCGGCAAGUUAAUCUCUCUAAAGAGCCAAAAAUAAUUGUGAUUAUUCUGGAUCCUGCCUUGACAUGCUGCACAUAAAAAUAUCCAUCAUGCGUUCCCUGAACAUGUUAGUUGAAAUAUCUAACUUUUGCCAGGUCUUACUUUUUCCCAGUGCCAAGUAAGUCUAGAGCUCUCCUGCUUAGUUACUUUGCUUCAAAGUAUAGCCAUUUUAUACCUGUUUCACGGAAUUAAGGAAUAUAUUAGACUUCUUGGUUGUAGGCUAAUGUUAUAGCAUAAUACCUCAGAGCGAGCGAUUGAGUGUGUAGACUUUUGGUCCAGCUCUACUCUAGCACACUGCUCAACAGGACGUUGUUAAUCUGACUCCUAUGUGGCCUAGCUCUCCAGAUGCAGAGUAACAGUGCUGUAUAUUUGACUUUAAGGCAGUGGUAUCAUUAUGAUAUUGAGUGUCAUUAUACUAGGCUGGUUUAGGUAUUGAACCCAAAAUAUUCUGAACACUUAGUUUGUGAUCUAGCUAAUGAAAGGGCUCCCGAGUGGCGCAGUGGUCGAAGACACUGCAUCUCAGUGCUAGAGGUGUCACUACAGACCCUGGUUCGAUUCCCUGCUGUAUCACACCCGGCUGUGAUUGGGAGUCGCAUAGGGCGGCACACAAUUGACCCAGUGUCGUUAGGGUUUGGCCAGGGUAGGCCGUCAUUGUAAAUAAGAAUUUGUUCUUAACUGACUUGCCUAGUUAAAUAAAGGUUAUAAUGAUUAGCCCAUCGGGGUAACCUAAACAAAUGCAGAUGGGCAACCCCAUGCUUUACCCAUCUAUAACCUAGCCACUAUGCUACAUCAGUAAGCCUAAAAUGGCACACCUGCCUGAUAAUAUAAGCUAUAGCCUUCUGAUGAAAGUCAGCCCAAAAAAAGACUUAUUUUUGCCAAUAUGUGCUCAUUUCUGGAGAGGAAUAUUGGCGUGUGUGUGGUGCGUGCAGACAUCAAGUUCGUAUUAAUUUGCAUUCCAAGUGCCAUUAAAAAUGUAGCGUCAUUGAACCUGCAGAUACCCUGUGGUUGUGAAUAAUUUAAUGGCAACUUAGGGCUGUUUUAGUGUAUAGCUAGUGUGAUCUGAAACCUAUUCCAAUGUCCAUUCCUGUAUUGUCUUCCUAGAUCUUCCUGAACAAGCAGCCCAACCCCAGGAAAAAGUUGCUGGUUCCGUGUGCUUUGGACCCACCCAGUGCCAACUGUUAUGUGUGCGCCAGCAAGCCAGAAGUCACAGUCAAACUGAAUGUGCACAAAACUCUUGUGCUGGCCCUACAAGACAAGAUAUUAAAGGAGAAGUUUGGGAUGGUGGCGCCAGAUGUGCAGAUCGAGGAUGGGAAAGGGACAAUCCUUAUCUCUUCUGAGGAGGGUGAAACAGAAGCAAACAACUGCAAGUUCCUGUCUGACUUUGCGAUUCGAAAUGGCAGCCGUCUGCAAGUGGAUGACUUUCUGCAGGAUUACACACUCCUGGUUAAUGUGAUUCACUGUGAGAACUUGGAGAAGGAUGUGGAAUUUGAGGUGGUGGGUGAUGCACCUGACAAGGCCCCAACCCCAACCAGGUCACAAGAAGAGGGAAAGAACAUUGCCAAUGGCAACAAAGAAUCUUCAGAACCGUCCACCUCUUCUGAAGCUCCUGCUGAACAGAAUGACAUUCUGCUAGUUGAUUCAGACGAGGAGGUGCCGUCCUCCAGCACUAUGGCUGUGAGCAUGGAGUCAGGAGGCCACAAGAGGAAGCUCCAUGAUGCUGAGACAGGCGAGGCCUCGGCUAAGCGCCAACACCUGAGUCAACCCUCAGCUGAUGAUGAUAAUGACAUCAUUGCGCUGGACUAGCAUGUCUCUAAACCCCCCCCCCCCCCCUGUUAGAAGAAGGGAACUAUUUUCAUGCGCCAUUCCUCUUACCAAACAUUUGUAAAUAAUAAUGUACAAAACUUACAUUUUCUGGUUAUUUGGGGUCAACAGAGUACUGUUUACAGUGGAAAUUUUGAUACAUUGCAUCUAUUUGUGAUAAAAUAUUUAAGAAAAAUAAAAAUAAUGUAUUUGUUUUGUCAA